UAUCCUGAUUGGACGUCGUUCAUGCGUCAAACAUGUUAGAUAAAUAAAAACCUCCUGGAAGCUGUGUCACCGCUGUGGAAAAUACUUUAUCUUCAAGACACACUCUCAUAUCAGCUUUCUGUCUUUCAAUUCAGCCUUUUUAAGGAAUUAUUAUUUACUUUCUUAAUUUCUCAGAGCUGAAAGUGUCAAUGUGUAUCCACUUCAACUUCACAAACUUAGAGAUUCAUGGUGCAUGCCACCAGCUGGACAGGAGGGGAAUUACAGAAAUGGAUGAUGGGGAAGUCGGGCACAAAGUGUGCUCACCAGUCAGAGGUGGAAAUCCUCUCGGUCCUGGCAAACCAAAGGGCUCAAAUUCAGGAAUGUUUGUUGAGUCAAAGUUGGAGCUGGCGAUGGGAUCUGUAGAGCGUCCGCGGUUGGUCACUUUGGGAGGGGGUCCGGAGGGAGUAGGG